AGAUGAUCCUGAUACACAGUCAGGUUUGAGAACCACUGCCACAUUCUUUAAGAUGUGCUACUAGGAUCCACACUUUGGAGAUGGAGUUCCAUGCUCACAGAGAUUGUAAACCUGCCCAGUGACUUCAAGCUGCUUCUGCAGCUGUAAUACCAAUCUCUGACCUGAGAGACCCAGAGCAGUGGGCAAAGGGGAGCAUUCUCUCAAAGGAGCUGCCAGGAGGGCAAUGUGACAUAAGGAAAAGCACUGGCUUGGACCUGGAAGAAAUGGGUUCUCAUUCUCACUGUUGGUCUAAGUGUGUGAACUCAACUGAUUGCUGUCACAGCCAGAGAGUGUUCCCCUGUGAAAUGAAAAUAAUGAGAGAUGACAUAUAUAAAAGAAUCUGGUCAUGAUGCCUAAUAAAUCUAAGAACUCUUCAGAAAUGUAGCAAGAGUUUGGCAGAAGCUGGGACU